rnacentral:rRNA from 1 species
UACGUAGGGUGCGAGCGUUAAUCGGAAUUACUGGGCGUAAAGCGUGCGCAGGCGGUUUUGUAAGCCAGAUGUGAAAUCCCCGGGCUUAACCUGGGAAUGGCAUUUGGGACUGCAAGGCUUGAGUGCGGCAGAGGAGACUGGAAUUCCUGGUGUAGCAGUGAAAUGCGUAGAUAUCAGGAGGAACACCGAUGGCGAAGGCGGGGUCUCUGGGCAGUAACUGACGCUGGAGGAGCGAAAGCGUGGGGAGCGAACAGG